GUCUCUAAGCAACGGAUGUCUUGGCUCCUCACACGAUGAAGAACGUGGCAUAAUGUGUUAAGUAACCGGAGUUGCAAACAUCAUGACAGGUUAAUCUUUGAAUGCAAAUUGCGCUUACCCGGCUUCGGCCGAGGAGCAUGCGUGUAACAGUACAACAUA
rnacentral:rRNA from 1 species